CCUCACCAACAUAAACUGUGAAGUAGCCCUUUGGAACAUCGACUGCCUUUGGCAAUGCGUCAUUUCCAGUCGAUGAAGAUUGCCGAAAACUUUGUUUAGCAUGAACAAUGCUAGGCAAGCGGAAACCCAUGGUAUGAGACCUUGAAAGGAAUCGAAAAGUUGGAAAGUCGAGGUGAUUGUGAGCUCAAUUUCUUGAUGUUUAUAUAGCUGAAAGAUGAGAGAUAUUAGCUUAUUACCUAUCACAUGGAUGUGUCUUCACAGCCAUUAUGAUGAUUUUGUGUUCAUGUGAAACAUUAUGGCCUACCGUUGUCUCUUGAUGACAACCACCAAGUAGGAAGAUUCCAGCUAAGGAACUUUGUUGGUUGUUGAUGUUAGCAGAGAAUUUAUAAAAUUCUCAAGGUUCACAGUACAGGAUAGAAAUAGAAGAUAGAUCCCACUGUUAGCAUGUUCUUGGAUGUAAAGAAACAAAGACAAUUGAAUAAAUGCCAUAACUUUG